rnacentral:misc_RNA from 1 species
GAUGAAGAACGUAGCGAAACGCGAUAAGUAAUGUGAAUUGCAGAAUCCAGUGAAUCAUCGAAUCUUUGAACGCACAUUGCGCCCGCCAGCAUUCUGGCGGGCAUGCCUGUUCGAGCGUCAUUUCAACCCUCGACCUCCCCUUGGGGAGGUCGGCGUUGGGGACCGGCAGCACACCGCCGGCCCUGAAAUGGAGUGGCGGCCCGUCCGCGGCGACCUCUGCGCAGUAAUACAGCUCGCACCGGGACCCCGACGCGGCCACGCCGUAAAACACCCAACUUCUGAACGUUGACCUCGAAUCAGGUAGGACUACCCGCUGAACUUAAGCAUAUCAGUAAGCGGAGGA